AGAGUUUGAUCCUGGCUCAGGACGAACGCUGGCGGCGUGCUUAACACAUGCAAGUCGAACGGUGACGCUGGAGCUUGCUCCAGCUGAUCAGUGGCGAACGGGUGAGUAACACGUGAGCAACCUGCCCUUGACUCUGGGAUAACCCCGGGAAACCGGAGCUAAUACCGGAUACGAACCGCACAGGCAUCUGCGUGGUUGGAAAGAUUUAUCGGUCAAGGAUGGGCUCGCGGCCUAUCAGCUUGUUGGUGGGGUAACGGCCCACCAAGGCGACGACGGGUAGCCGGCCUGAGAGGGCGACCGGCCACACUGGGACUGAGACACGGCCCAGACUCCUACGGGAGGCAGCAGUGGGGAAUAUUGCACAAUGGGCGAAAGCCUGAUGCAGCGACGCCGCGUGAGGGAUGAAGGCCUUCGGGUUGUAAACCUCUUUCAGCAGGGAAGAAGCGAAAGUGACGGUACCUGCAGAAGAAGCACCGGCUAACUACGUGCCAGCAGCCGCGGUAAUACGUAGGGUGCAAGCGUUGUCCGGAAUUAUUGGGCGUAAAGAGCUCGUAGGCGGUCUGUCGCGUCUGCUGUGAAAACUCGGGGCUCAACCCCGGGCCUGCAGUGGGUACGGGCAGACUAGAGUGCGGUAGGGGAGACUGGAAUUCCUGGUGUAGCGGUGAAAUGCGCAGAUAUCAGGAGGAACACCGGUGGCGAAGGCGGGUCUCUGGGCCGUAACUGACGCUGAGGAGCGAAAGCAUGGGUAGCGAACAGGAUUAGAUACCCUAGUAGUCC
rnacentral:rRNA from 1 species